UCGGAUAGCUUAACUGGUAGAGCCCUUGGCGCGUAAUCGAGAGAUCUGGGUUCGAUUCCCACACGCAUAAAAA
rnacentral:tRNA from 1 species